ensembl:snoRNA small nucleolar RNA SNORD49
UUCAGUGAUGAAAACUGCUGCAUAGGAAGUGCCGUCUGAUGCGAUAACUGACGAUAGAAAGCUGUUCUGAGA